rnacentral:rRNA from 2 species
AGCGAAAUGCGAUACUUGGUGUGAAUUGCAGAAUCCCGUGAACCAUCGAGUCUUUGAACGCAAGUUGCGCCUGAAGUCAUUAGGCUAAGGGCACGUCUGCCUGGGCGUCACGC